GCCAGCAUGGUGUAGUGGUUUGAACACUGGACUACAACUCUGGAGACCAGGGUUUGAAUCCCCGUUUGGCC
rnacentral:tRNA from 1 species